GAUUUGAAAUCGUGCUUUGCGGCACGAGUUGUAGAUUGCAGGUUGGAGUCUGUGUGGAAGGCGGUGUCCAAGUCCCUUGGAACAGGGCGCCCAGGAGGGUGAGAGCCCCGUGGGAUGCCGGCGGAAGCAGUGAGGCCCUUCUGACGAGUCGAGUUGUUUGGGAAUGCAGCUCCAAGCGGGUGGUAAAUUCCAUCUAAGGCUAAAUACUGGCGAGAGACCGAUAGCGAACAAGUACUGUGAAGGAAAGAUGAAAAGCACUUUGAAAAGAGAGUGAAACAGCACGUGAAAUUGUUGAAAGGGAAGGGUAUUGCGCCCGACAUGGGGAUUGCGCACCGCUGCCUCUCGUGGGCGGCGCUCUGGGCUUUCCCUGGGCCAGCAUCGGUUCUUGCUGCAGGAGAAGGGGUUCUGGAACGUGGCUCUUCGGAGUGUUAUAGCCAGGGCCAGAUGCUGCGUGCGGGGACCGAGGACUGCGGCCGUGUAGGUCACGGAUGCUGGCAGA
rnacentral:rRNA from 1 species